rnacentral:rRNA from 1 species
GUCGAGCGCAGGAAACUGACGGAACUCUUCGGAGGGAAGGCAGUGGAAGGGACGGCGGACGGGUGAGUAACACGUAAGGAACCUGCCUCAAGGAUUGGGAUAACUCCGAGAAAUCGGAGCUAAUACCGGAUAGUUCAACGGACCGCAUGGUCCGCUGAUGAAAGGCGCUUCGGCGUCACCUUGAGAUGGCCUUGCGGUGCAUUAGCUAGUUGGUGGGGUAACGGCCCACCAAGGCGACGAUGCAUAGCCGACCUGAGAGGGUGAUCGGCCACACUGGGACUGAGACACGGCCCAGACUCCUACGGGAGGCAGCAGUAGGGAAUCUUCCACAAUGGACGAAAGUCUGGUGGAGCAACGCCGCGUGAGUGAUGAAGGUUUUCGGAUCGUAAAACUCUGUUGUAAGGGAAGAACACGUACGAGAGGGAAUGCUCGUACCUUGACGGUACCUUACGAGAAAGCCACGGCUAACUACGUGCCAGCAGCCGCGGUAAUACGUAGGUGGCAAGCGUUGUCCGGAAUUAUUGGGCGUAAAGCGCGCGCAGGCGGCCUUUUAAGUCUGAUGUGAAAGCCCCCGGCUCAACCGGGGAGGGCCAUUGGAAACUGGAAGGCUUGAGUACAGAAGAGAAGAGUGGAAUUCCACGUGUAGCGGUGAAAUGCGUAGAGAUGUGGAGGAACACCAGUGGCGAAGGCGACUCUUUGGUCUGUAACUGACGCUGAGGCGCGAAAGCGUGGGGAGCAAACAGGAUUAAAUACUCUGGUAGUCCACGCCGUAAACGAUGAGUGCUAGGUGUUGGGGGGGUUUCCGCCCCUCAGUGCUGAGCUAACGCAUUAAGCACUCCGCCUGGGGAGUAC